rnacentral:lncRNA from 12 species
CUUAUCACUUUUAUUUAUUCUCCAAAAAUUAAUAAACAUAAUAGUAGUUUGCAUUAUAAAUCUGUUUUUCAGAAUUACAAAGGGCAGAGUUCACUAACAGGGAGGAGUUUGCAUCUACUUUGAGGUUAUAAAUAACUUCAUAAGAGAAUACCAUUAUGUUUAGUUCUGUACAUCUGAUAGUAUAAAGAUGAUGUCAAGGGAAAGGAGGUGAGUAGACUGAUAUUUGGAAAACAAAACCAGAGACAGAUCAUCUUGACUUCUCUUUAUAUCUCUGCUCUUGACAAUAAGUAAAUACAUCUUUAUGUCACUAUUUAUAUUACCUGGAGCUGUACAAUCAUGGUAGGAGAAAUAGAAAUAUAUGAAAGUUAUAAUUGUGGUGGAAGUCAAAAUGUAUUCAUAGCCCCACCAAUAUGAAAAUUGCAUUUGUGUGUGUGUGUGUGGGGGGGGGGUGUUUCAGACUUUUCUUUCUUUACAGACCCAAUUCCUAAUAUUCCCAUUGGACGUGGUAUGAAGACUGCUGCUUCAUCUCAACUCUAGGACAGCAAAGGUGGACAAAGGACUGCGAAAUUUAAACUGCAGAGACUCUCUGAAGUCACUUCCAGUUCAAUACAGUUAGAAACAAUUGACACACAGAUAAGCUUCAAAGCAUAUUUAUUUGUUUUCCUCUUCUACCUGGGUCUGGAAGAACUGCAGUCCCCACCUGAUUCUCCCAUUGAAGGAUCCUUCAACAACCACAGAGAAAGCCCUGGUCUUUUCCUGAGCACUUCAAUGGAUCUGAGAUAAAAAUCACUGACAUUCCUUCAGAUAAUCUGAUCCACUAGUACACUAAGGGAUGAUAUAUUCUUGAUAAUAUCUGUAGGCAAUAUACAAACUGGCACUAUACUACUGAUUUACAUACGUUAGCUUGUUUAAUUCUUAAAACAACCCUGUGAGGUAAGUUCUAGUAUUCCCAUGUUAAAGAUGGAGGAAUUGU